AUAGACAGCGCCAGCCAGCCUCUCCGUCUUGGACUUUUCUAGGGGAGAAUCAGGCACCAGUCUCUGCACUUCCCGAACUCAAGGGAACACACUACCUGAAUUCCCUCUGCCUGCAUGAGGUCUGCUUGAUGGAACUCCUGUUACUGAUUGUCCUCUGCAUUUUAGUGAACACACCUCUGAUGUUGGACUACGCACUGUUGGUUCUGUUGCCUGUCUGAAAUUAAUUUUAUUUAAUCAAAAUAAAAACUUUA
rnacentral:lncRNA from 1 species